ACAAAACCCCUGGCUCCGGUCUCCAAUCAGCUUCCCGCUUUCCCGGUCCCGCCUACGUAGAAAUUGCGGAGCUGCGCUGGGCGCGCUCUGGAGGCUCGUCCACGGCUCACUUCCGCACCCAGCUGGAUUAGCUGCCUCCCGCGGCGGUCCGCUCCGUUCCUCACCGCCCUGCAUCGCCAGUAAGCUCUGGCCCUGUUCUGAAGAGGAAAAGGGAACUCCCAGGAAGAGUCUAGUGCCAUAGAGGGAGACAUUACCUCAUCCCUCAAGAUUGCUCACUGCAAACACAACCCUGAGAAAUGGCCCAAGAACGGUAAGGGUCUUGCAUUCUUGGCACAUCCAGCAAGAACGUGCAAGGACGCUAAUGGUGAAUUGUUUCUCCGAACAGUAGGUGGCAAAGCCCUGAUGGAUGCCAGACCUGCCCAUUUCAUUCCACCCUAAUAUAAACAAAGUUCUCUGACAACAAGAAUUUGACCCAGUUUGGGGGACUUGAUCUUGGAUUCCUUCCCCUUAGACCCACAUCUCUUCAAGUUCUCAACAAACUAGGAGGAUGACUCCUUUUGAGACAUAGUCUGUGAUGUCACCCAGGCUGGAGUGCAGUGGCUAUUCACAGGUGCGACCAUAGUGCAUUGCAGCCUCCAACAACCUGGCUGAAGAGAUCUUCCUGCCUCAGCCUCCAGAGUAGCUGGGACUACAGAAGAAACCUGUGAAGCAGAUGGAAUCAGGCAGUGGCAUCUCACAGAUGGAUGAGGAGUGACGGGGAAGCUGGGCAGGCCUCAGCCUUUCUCGUGGCAAGGACUGCUUCCCCACUCCCUCACAACCUGAUCUGCAGCACCAGCUUUCCAAACUUGGGACAGGAAGUGCCCUGUGGUAUGAAGCAUCACACAGCAAACCUCCUGGACCUGGCUACAUCACCUGUGACUCACCAGCCACUGCCAAGUGCUCGGCAGGUAGAGACUUGUGCAGCCAGGAGCGUGCGUGGCUCUCAGGCGAGGAGAGGGAGCGCCGCGGCUCUGCGCUCAGCUGUGACAACUGCCCCCGAUCUGAGGAUACUUGAGGCUCCCCUGAGCCCCCUCUUGUAUGGUGCCCCAGCCCAGGACAGGUAAAGCAUCAGCACCACAGUUCACCUGCUCACUGUCAUUAGGUAAGUUCGCUGGCGUUGAAAGAUGCUGGGGCUAAUGUUGCACUCGAUUCAAUUUGCCUAGAGCAGCGGUUGCUCCGUUGGUGGUAUGUUCAAAGUGAAGACACUAAAAUGCUAAUGUGAACCAACUCCCUGAUGGCUUAGUGUCUCCUCUGAAAGUGGGUAUCCAGAGUAAGCUUUUAUUUUAGUUUAUUCUGUUUUUUGUUUUUAAGAAAAUGUGGUUUGUGUUUAAUCCUCUGAAAGUCCUGUGUGUCAGCAAGGCUUUUCUUUCCUGCUGUGUGGGACUUUAUAUGGGGCUUUUCUUGCCAGAUUUGGAAUUUCCUGGCAAGGAAGAGAGGUAAUUUGAGUAACCCAGACACAGACAAAUAUAUUUCUCUUCAACAAAGCUGUUCAGAUGUCAUUGAAGAUGUGUGAGAAAUUGGAUAGAAAGCUAUAGAAAAUGCUCUUUAAAAAAGUAUUCUCCCACUGACGGCUUUAGUGAAGGUCUUUCCAUCCAGUCUCCUGAAUGGGAUAACUUUAGGCCAUCGCCUUGUCCAAAGAGAUUUGUUAGACCACAGGGAAAGGGCUUGGGAGACAGUCAAGUGUCUCAGUACAGGCUGUGCAGGCUCUCUUUCCAGCUUGGACAACAAAUAUCAGGGCUUGGAGCAAAAUGCACAUGGGUUGGUUGGUUUGUCCUCUUUUUCAAAAUGCUCAUAUGCCUGUUGUUUGAAAAGUAGAUAAAAGCUUACAUAGUGUCUCCCUGAAGAGCACAUUUUGGAGUUGCUUAUUGUUGCUCUUAACUCCAGUGAAGUUCUUGCUCAUCUGAUGACUCCGAUGUUUCAGUAAUGGCAUUUGGCUUAAGAAUAGAGGCUAAUAAGAAAGCAUUGUAUUAUGGAAACUGAGGUGGGGACUCAAGAGAGGAGUAAGGAGAAAAGCUGUGGGAAAGAGGUUGAGUGCGGGCCUGAGUCCACCAGAGGAGAUGCAGGGUGAGCUGGCUAGAAGUACAGUGCUGUUCUGUUCAUUUGUUUUUUCCUUUUAAGUGUUAAUAUCAAGGACAAAUAAGACAAGAGAAAAGGAAGUGUGGUGGCUGGGGUGGGGAAUGCAUGGACUGACCUAGGAUAUGCCGGUAAAGCUGGGGUCAGGGCUCUGGACACAGCUCACUGCUGAGCCCCAGCACCAUGGGGAAAGCUGGUCCUAGACUUGAUAAGUACUGUGUGCUGAGUGAUUGCACAGCUAGAGCCUGGUCUAAGACUUUGAGCAGGGCUCAGCCACCAGGUUUCAUGGGGCCAUGGAAAAAAAUUCUGACCAGAGACCAAGUGCAUUAGGUCCCAGCAGAGGAGGACCCUGAUUUUCUAGGAAACCAUCCAAGGAAGCUUUCUGUGGCUCCCCGUCCCACCCUACAGAAGCAUCCCAUUUCCCAUUGCCUGUCCCAUCUCCUGGAACAAUGGUUAUGUUCUGAACUAGUUCAACAACAUAGAGAAGCUUUCAUUAAGCAUUCAUUUCCUUGUAAGAUAUUUUUUUCACCUAGGAAAUUCUCUCAAGCCUUCUGAUAUUGUUAAAUGCCACAAUGAUUGGGUUUGAACAACUGUGACCUUCAGCUCCCUGAAGACUUGUAACACCAUCCCUAUGGAUUGUAGAUUCAAACUUGAGGAUCUUUUAGUCAAAAGGAGGAAACGUUAGAAAAGCAUAUAGGGUCCUGCGUCCCUGUUUUUGGGGUGUGUAGGUGAAAACCGUAAAGCUAGUUGUUCUUCUGAUUAACCUAUCAAUCUUCUAGUCAAUCUUGAUUCUAGUUCCUCUAAACAGAUCAAUUUCCUAGAGAGCAGAAUACUAGGCUGCCUGCUUUAGGAGUCGGUGUUGCCCCUACCACCAAUGGUUAUCCAUGGCCCUUCCACAAAUCUUUCAGUAUUUCCCAUUAAGGAAAAACGAAAGAGUUGGAUCAAGAUGCACAAAGAUUUCAAUAGCCUAAAAGGAGGGGCUGAAAUUAAAACAGUUGCACAGAUAGAUGCUAGGGAAGAGCUAACAUUCUAGUCCUAUGGAAAAGGUUCAAUUGGCUUUGAGCUGAAUGUGAAACAAGAGUGACUUUGGGCUGCUAGUACAGCUCACCAACACAGGCAGCACCGAUAGAAGCUCAGCUUCCAAAAUAAGAAAGAUUAGAGGCCUGCUCUGCUUUGCCCUGGUCUGGCCAUGGCAUCUUCUGCCUCUAGUCUCAUAUCUGCCUCUAGUCCCCUCUGCAACUUGCAAUCAGAGUGAUUUUUCUUAAAAUCCAAAUUUCACUCUCUGGUUUAAAAGCUUUCAAUGCCUCCCCAUUGCCCUCAGCGUAGUCACACAGGGUAUCCUUUGUGAUGAGCAUCAUAAUGAUGCUCAAAAAGAAAAAUAAACACUAUAGUUCACCUUUGGAUGAUACUGGGGAACAUUUCCACACCAUAUUGUAACUGCUUGAGAGUAACCCACCUCCCAUCCCAAGACAGCAAGCUGCUCCAGGCGGAGACUAUGGCAUUUUAUGUGCCUUCUCAGUGUCUGCUAUCUUCCUGGUAGGCACUCAGUGAAUAUCUGUUGAUGGGUAUUUAUCAAUGGAAGACUAGACAUUUCAAAGGGAACAACUGACAAACCCAAGCACAUUCAGAGAAGAAUAAGGAUGGUAAGGGCUAUGGGAAUGAAAUCAAAUGACAAAUAGCUGAAGAAGCUGAGGCACUAUAGCCUGGAAAAGGAGCAUUAUGAGAGGCACAACAGUUCACCUUCAUGUUGUGAGGAAGCGGGACAUGAUUUACUCCAUCCUCACCAGAUGGCAGAAAUAGAAUCUCUCAUGGGAGGGUGAUGGACAUGAUGCAACUUAAGAAGCAGCUUUGGAAAACACUAUGAUGUGCUACAUUUGGGUACCUUUGGUGAAAAGAAGGGUGCGCUAUAAAGGAGGGAUAGCUUCCUCGUGACCCAAAAUGCUCCCUGGCCCUAAAAAGUCUAGCACCAUUUCAGGAAUGUGGUUGAAAGGAUUCUUGUGUUUGGUAAGGUGUUUGCCUGGAUAACAUAUUGAAGGUCCUGCAGAACAUGGACUCUAAGAUCUGUAGGUCCCUGGCAGCUCUAAAGUCUGUGAUUCUCUCAUCUGGGCCACAACACCACACAAUUCAGAAAACUAAAUAGACAUGCUAGUUUAUGACUUCUUUUCCUUAGCAACUUCAAGGAAUUUUACCCAUUCCAAAUCUGCUCGUGAUGCCUGGUUCACUUAAUUGUUGCACUGGGAGCAGAAAAAGGGACACAGAGAAGUUACAUAACCUGUCCUAGUUUUUGCAGGUGGUCAUGAGCAGCAGAAUCCUAACAGGAAACAGAACUCUCAAUUCCUAGGCAUUAAGGCAAAUGACUUUUCCAGGACCCUGAUGACUUCAUGUGCCAACUUGUCCUAUGAAGUUUCACAUCUCUUACCAUUUUGCCUUCAUUCCACAUAUAAUGUUCAAGAACACAACCCUGGUAGGCUGGUGACAGGGACGGGCUCUGGAAUUAGAUUGCCUGUGUGACCUCAGGAAAAGUCACUUAAUCUUACUGUUUCCUAUUUCAGCUUCUUUCAGUUUCUUCAUCAAUAAAAUGGAUAUAAUAACAGAAUUAACCUUAUAAGGUUGUUAUAAGAAUAAAAUGAGAACACAGUCCAUGAAUAUAGUAAGCACUUAAUAAACACUAGCUAGCAGAUGAGGACUGGCCUUGGGAAUGAAGAGAACUGAUUUCACAUUCCAGUGCUAAAGGUAUGGUGCAGUGGUCUUGUUGGAGACCCUGGGCUGGGUGUGAAGGGUGAAAGAUGACGCCAUUGGCACAGAAGAACAAAAUGGGGGGGGGGGUGUACACCCAGGUGGUGCUCUUGUGCUGCUGUCUGUGGUCCUGAAACACAAUUUGUUAAUGCACUUAGUUAAUUCUCUAGGAAAAUGGGGGUGAGGAUUGCACCCCAAAACCCCAUGUCUUUCCUCCAUUCCCCAUA